UUGACCUCAAAUCAGGUAGGACUACCCGCUGAACUUAAGCAUAUCAAUAAGCGGAGGAAAAGAAACUAACAAGGAUUCCCCUAGUAACUGCGAGUGAAGCGGGAAAAGCUCAAAUUUGAAAUCUGGCAGUCUCUGAUUGUCCGAGUUGUAAUCUAGAGAAGUGUUACCCGCGUUGGACCGUGUACAAGUCUCCUGGAAUGGAGCGUCAUAGAGGGUGAGAAUCCCGUCUUUGACACGGACUCCCAAGGCUUUGUGGUGCGCUCUCAAAGAGUCGAGUUGUUUGGGAAUGCAGCUCAAAAUGGGUGGUAAAUGCCAUCUAAAGCUAAAUACAGGCGAGAGACCGAUAGCGAACAAGUACCGUGAGGGAAAGAUGAAAAGAACUUUGGAAAGAGAGUUAAACAGUACGUGAAAUUGCUGAAAGGGAAACGCUUGAAGUCAGUCGCGUUGGCUGGAAAUCAACCUUGCUUUUGUUGGGUGUACUUUCCAGUUGACGGGUCAGCAUCAGUUUUGACCAGUGGAAAAAGGCGUAGGAAAUGUGGCUUCCUCGGAAGUGUUAUAGUCCUGCGUUGUAUACAUUGGUUGGGACUGAGGAACUCAGCACGCCGCAAGGCCGGGGUUCGCCCACGUACGUGCUAGGA
rnacentral:rRNA from 1 species